rnacentral:rRNA from 1 species
AACGAACGCUGACGGCAGGCUUAACACAUGCAAGUCGAACGCGUGUAGCAAUACACGAGUCGCGCACGGGUGAGUAACACGUGGAUUAUCUGCCUUUUGGUUCGGAAUAACCCCGGGAAACUGGGGCUAAUACCGGAUGGUUCCUACGGGAUAAAGAUUUAUCGCCAAAAGAUGAGUCCGCGCCCGAUGAGCUAGUUGGUGGGGGAAUGGCCCACCAAGGCUACGAUGGGUAGCUGGUCUGAGAGGACGAUCAGCCACACUAGGACUGAGACGCGGCCCAGACUCCUAGGGGAGGCGGCGGUGGGGAAUAUUGGACAGUGGGGGCAACCCAGCUCAAGCCAGGCGGCGUGGGGACGGAAGGCGUCCGGGUUGAAAAGCUCUUUUGGCGGGGACGAUGAUGACGGUACCCGCAGAAUAAGCCCCGGCUAACUUCGUGCCAGCAGCCGCCGUAAGAC